rnacentral:rRNA from 1 species
UACAGAGGGUGCAAGCGUUAAUCGGAAUGACUGGGCGUAAAGGGCGCGUAGGCGGUGAGUAGUUGUUGAUGGUGAAAUACUUGGGCUUAACCUGGGAAUGGCCUUCAAUACAUAUUCACUAGAGUGGGAGAGAGGAGAGUGGAAUUUCCGGUGUAGCGGUGAAAUGCGUAGAUAUCGGAAGGAACACCAGUGGCGAAGGCGGCUCUCUGGCUCCACACUGACGCUCAUGCGCGAGAGCAUGGGGAGCAAACAGG